ACUAGGUACAACACCUCAGGAGAGAGAUUUUCCUAGCCAAAACAACACCAAAAAGCCAGAAUGUCCCUGAUGCCCAGUCCCUUACCACUACUAUAGUUAUACUUGCGAAUGGAUGAGUCUUUCAAGUUUAUCUGUUGCCCUUUAAACACAGUUACAGACCUGAUAAAGGAAUAGAAUUGAGGCCUAUUUUAUCAGUCCUACUUGGGAAACCAUUCCUACCAUGACCUGGUUGAAAAUAUCACUGCUAUCCCCCCACUCACAGCCUGGAAAUCAGGGACACUACAGAAAUAGGCAGUAUCUGAAUUGCCUGUUCUUCCAACACACAGGUGACCUUGAUGAUUUCUCCAAGCCAUAAGAUCUCUGACACUGGAAAAUAAAGAUGGAAACUGAAGACUGGAGAUAAUUUUAAGUAAAAAGGAUUAAAGAGAAAUAUCAGAUAAUGAGAUAUCCUCAUCUUCAUGUAUUCCCUGGUCAGCUGAACAACUGAAUCUAUGUAUUUGUGAUAUAAUACUGUAUAUUUGUGAAAAUAUAAUAUAAGACAGAUUUGUAUAGACUUACAUAUUCUCUACAGUCCAUUAGAGUAUUGAAACAUGUUUAUUUUAAAAGAUAAAAUCUGUUCUUAGAAACUGGAAAAGAGACUUUAGAUAAUGCUGUGUUAUAGUACAAUGAUUACUUGUUCCAGUAUUUUUCUUGGAACUGACUGACGAUUCAAAUCUCUGUGCAUUCAUUAUCAGCUUUCUAGUACUUUAAAAAUUCAUUGCAAGAUUUGAUAGAAAGCAACUGAGAGAAAAGUAAGAGAGGCAGAAAAAUGAAGGGAGAGAGGAGAUGAGAGAAAAGGAGAGGAGACACAAUGAACUGCCAUCUAAGUAUCUUUUACAAUGAGUAACAGGAAUUCAAUCAGGUAACAACCUGCAUGUCAUUCCCACUCUAAGUGUGGCCAAAACCAAGCUAAUAAAAAAAGUCAGAUUUCUAUAGAAUUUAAUAUAUAUUUUGGCUGUCAGUGAAAGAAAAGAGUUGGGGGAGGGAGCUAUUACUCUAAGUGGAAUGUAAUGAAUCAUCACCAAGGUUGAAAUAAACUCACUUGUUUCAACUUAAUGGAAAGUGAUUUUGUUGGUUACUUCAUAAUAUACUAUUCUGAUUCUU